AGGCAGUAAUCCUACAUCACUUUCUCAUAGAUUCCCUCGCUUUCUCUCCAAAUUUUCAAGAGAAAAUCCUCCUCCAUAUACCUUGCAGAAAGCCCAUCUUAGCAUCUCCCCUCCCCUCGAUCAUUCUGCAAUCUCUACUUCACAGGUAAGCGCUGCUUCUCUCUAGUCUCUGCUGUUGUCAAUUUUGUUUAGCUUCGUCAUUGGGGUAGGUCCAAGGGCUUUUCUUUCUAUGCAACACGGUUUGGUAUGCGAUAAUCUUGUUGUGUCCAUUAUUGAAUAAUUGAGUGUUAGGGCUGGUAUUGUUGGCGUUGAUAUUGGUGUCUAAUGGUGCCGCCGAGAAGAAAGAAAUGGACAGAAGCAGAAGAGAAAACCCUAAUUGAGAAUUACGGUGAGAUGGUCUCUGAUGGGACCCUCGCGAAAAUGAAAACUAGAGAGAAGAAAUAUAGACCCAUUGCUUUGUAUGUGAAUUACGUGCACCAUGUUCGUGAUCCUGUCACCUACUCUUGGCAGUGGACUUGGAAAGAUGUGUCCACUAAGGUGCAAAAUAUGAGGCACCAAUACUUGCUUGUUAAGCAAAAGAUCAAGAAGCCUGAGCUCUCUGCACUAGAGAAUUCAGUUAAUGGAGAGUGCAGUAAUGGGGAUGAGUUUGACUGGUUGGAAGGGCUUACACAUUGGUCGAAUUUUUUGCUGUACAAGGAAGUUUUCGGGGAUGUUCCCAUGGCAUAUAGUUCGAAUGGCAGUAAUGGGAGCGAUUUGACAGCAGUCUUGAGUGAGGAUAGGGAAAAUGGUGGAGGGUUGUUGGGCGCUGGUAGGGGGAUGGAGAUUGCGGAGUUUGGGCAAAUGGGUAAUUCAGCAGAGGGAGAUUUUGCUGGGAUUGAUGGAGGUGAGAAUGGGAUGCUAGGUUUGGGUUUUGAUUAUGAGGGGGAAGAGGCAGAGGCAGAGGAAAAUUAUAAUAGUAAUGAUCGAGUGAGAGAGGAAGGGGAUGAAGCUUUCAUGUACGAAGAAGUGGACCCUAAUGUUUCUAAUUUGAGGAAGAAAAGGAAGGUGUUGAAGGGUUUGGGGAAGAGGGUGUUUGGUUUCCUUUCAAACCAAAUAGGGCAGUUGAGGGAAAUGGAGACUCGAUUUGAGCAACAUGAAGCGGAGAUAGAGCGGGAGAGGCAGAGGAGGGAGAACAUUCGAAUGGAGAGAGAGCAAGAGUGGGAACGGAAAUUGGAAGACAGGGAAGAAAGGGAAAAGGAUAGGGAAAAGAUGAGAUGGAAAAGAUAUCGAGAAUGGGAAGCUAUGGAAAGGGAGAGUGAAGAGAGGGAAAGAAGAAGAAGAGAGGAGGAUUUGAUUCAGGAGAAAGAAUGGGAGGAGAGGAUGAACAGGAGGAGGUCAGAAUGGAAGAAGAGGAUUGAUGGUAUGUUAGAACAACACCGAGCAGAAAUGGGGCAGAUUCAGACCCGAAUUCUUCAUGAGCAACAGAACCUUACUGGCCAAUUGCUUGGGAUUGUUUCGCAGUGGACUGGUCAUUCGACUGGGCUUUCUGAUCAUACUGGUGCUAGUAACCAUUAUCUUUCACAAAUGAUGCAUAAUUUGCACCAUGUGGGUGGUAUGGUACAUGGAGACACCAGGGUUGAUGGUGAUACUCAAGAUGAUCAAUUUAUUGUUGAUGGAUGAUGUCUUUUUCUCAGCACCAUCAUCUGCUUGGUGAGCUCAAGUAACAAUGAAAUACACUGGCAGGUUUCUGAUGGUGACAAGGUGUAAAGGUCAGAGAAUUAUUAAUCGCAUUUUAUCAUGUAUUAUUUAUUACAUAUGCUUGUAUAUCUAUCUGUUCAGCAAAAAAUUUUAGUUAAUAAUGAGAAAUAUUUAUUUGUUUCAAUUUUUCAUGUAACUUUUGUUAAAUAUAAAUAGUCUUUAUAAAUAUUACAUUGAGAUUUUUGAAUUCCUCUUCCUUUUCUUUUCCUCUAAUAUUAUUUACUUGGUUAUCCUACAUGAGAAAGGACAACAAAAAAGUGAAUGUGAUGAAUAAAAGAAAUAGAGGGUGGAGUUCCAACAUGUGUAUAAAGGCAGCAUGGUUGCGGACCUGGGGAGUCUGGGUAUGCUUGUGCUGAAGGAUCUUCCAAAAGCUGGUGUUGAGUUAUUGAAGGAUCACGUUCUAGGAGUUUCAUGGCCUAAUAGAGUUCCUAGUUAGUGUUAUCUGGGUUUGCAGGCCUCUUGAUAGAAGAAGAAAAAACAGUUCAGCUGCCAUUUUGGAUUUAGGUCUUGGAGCUUGGAGAAGCAAAUGCUUGUGCAGAUAAUGUGGCUAGAAUUGCUGCUAAUUAUAGACUAUCUGUUUGGGAUUCUCCCCCAGAUGAUAUUUCCCACAAUUUACUAGCUAUUACUGUGGGCGUUAUUUUCUGUAGAUUUUAG
rnacentral:misc_RNA from 1 species